UACGUAGGGGGCAAGCGUUGUCCGGAAUUAUUGGGCGUAAAGGGUGCGUAGGCGGCUUAUCAAGUCUGUGGUUAAAGUUCGAGGCUCAACUUCGGAUUGCCUUAGAAACUGGUGAGCUAGAGUGCAGGAGAGGGCAAUGGAAUUCCAUGUGUAGCGGUAAAAUGCGUAGAUAUAUGGAGGAACACCAGUGGCGAAGGCGGUUGCCUGGCCUGUAACUGACGCUGAGGCACGAAAGCGUGGGGAGCAAAUA
rnacentral:rRNA from 1 species